GCGGGAAUAGCUCAGUGUUAGAGCACAACCUUUCCAAUGUUGGGGUCGCGAGUUCGAGCCUCGUUUCCCGCUCCA
rnacentral:tRNA from 1 species